rnacentral:lncRNA from 1 species
AAUCAAAUUCUAGCUCUGCCGCUAUCUAGCUCAGUGGCCCUGGGAACAAUAGCAACUCAGUCUCUCUAAUUUUUAGUUUCCUUAACUGUAAAAUUGGAGUAAUGGUAGGAUCUACCACAGAGGAAGGAUUAAAUGGGACGGUAGAUAUAAAGCACCUCGCCCCGCACCUGGCACAUAGUAAUUCCUCAAUAAGUGACCAUUGAUUGCUGUUUCCAUGUCUUCACACCAUUUGGCUGCUUUUAUUAGGCAAUUGCUGUAGUGAUUGAACCUGUGGUAAGAUUUCUGAAGAAAGUUUCUAAUUAGCUGUCAGAUUACCUGCCAUCACUUGAUGGGACUUAAAAAUUCUAUUUUUAUAUGCUCCUGAACAUCUCACUUGUCGUAUUAAAGUGUGUACUGAUUUUAUAUAUGAUGUCACUACAUAGUUAUAUGUUUUCGCUUGAGUAUGUCAAGUUCUGAUCGAUUUCUACACAAGCAGUCACUGGUUAGAACUAGCCACACUUUUCUAACUACUUCUCCUGGUGAGUAACACAUACAUUAUUAAAACCCAUGUUUAGAUUGUGAAACAAGUAGUUCUGAAAGGGUCUCAAGCCCAUGUCUUUAAAGACACCUGUGUUCUUCUCUCUCUCUCUCUCUCUAUGUAUAUAUAUAUAUGCACACACACAUAUAUAUUAUAUAGCAUAUCUAUAAAUUUAUAGCAUCUAUCUAUCUAUCUAUCUAUCUAUCUAUCUAUCUAUCUAUCUAUCAUCUAUCUAUCUAAAACAAUAACAAAACCGUUCCUAACGUCAAUUAAAUGCAAGAUCAGCUAGGUACCAUGAAGGUGGGCUAGAGGCCUGGUCUCUUUCCUGUUUCUCUAGAAUUCAGGCUGGGGAUAUCUAAAGUGGAAAGACACAGAAAAAAACAGAUGCUGACAGUGACACUGGUGAGCCCAACAAGGACAUACAUAUUCCAAGGAGCUAUGGAAACAUGAAAGAGACUUAGGAGUCGUCCUGUGUAAAGUCAGGAAAGACUUUCCAGGGUAAAUAAAAACUUGUGCUGAGGCGUGAAGGAUUUUGGUGUCUUGGAGGAGAUGCCGGGCAAAAAGAAGUAGGAAAGACCAGGGGAUUUGAGAGAGCACAGUAUGUACUCUGACAGGCAAGGAGGUGCCAUAAAAACAAGGAAGAGUUAGUGUUAGAAUGACUUGCUCUCCUUUAGGUAUGAAAGAUCCCUUUGUAACUUUGCCCAUACUCUUCAACAUUGCCGGUUGUUUUGGUUAAAGAAGGAAGCUCUUUUCCCCCGACUAGGAUGCAGACUAUAUUAAAAUGUUGGCAUUAAGGAAAAACACACCUAUAGAAUAAAACGAACAAUCAUAACAUGCAGAGAAACACCCUUUAGACUUUUUUUUUUUUUUUUAAAGAAUCCUAGGCCUGGGGCACCUGGGUGGCUCAGUGGUCUGAGCGUCUGCUUUUGGCUCAGGUCAUGAUCCCGGGGUUCUGGGAUUGAAUCCCACAGCAGGCUUCCCCUGCUUCUCCCUCUGCCUAUGUCUCUGCCUCUCUCU